GUGUGACUGUUUUGAGUUCUCGUUCAGCUGCUAAGAGUCCUGCCCUGUAACCAUGAGUUCCACACCAAGUGUGUUGACAAGUGGCUCAAGGCUAACAGAACGUGUCCCAUCUGUCGGGCGGACGCCUCCGAGGUCCAUCGGGAUUCUGAAUGACCUAUGACCUCGAGCCCCACAGAUCUAGGAUCCGCUCAGCCUCCCCACAUCCUAACCUGACGCAUUAGGGAGUGGAGGGAAACACAACAGGCCUUAGAUCAGUGUCUUGGAGCAAUGCCCCCCCUCCCCUCCCCUCCGCCAAGUGAACUCUUUAAGAAAUAGACUGUCUUCUUUCUAUGAUGGUAUUCUAAUAAUGGCCUUUUGACUGACACACACACACACACACACACACGUACGAGGGGCAGUUGGACUUUUCCCCCUUUUUGUACUGUCUUACCUUCCUGAGUCAUGAUUGGAGUUGUCAUAUGAACGCUGUGGAGAAACUCAGACGUGUGUCGUUCUCCUGACUAACCCAGUGGAGGAAAUGGAAGCCCAAAGAUUCUGACCAUUAUGACAUCCAUCAUCAUCAUCAUCAUCGUUGUUGUUGUUGUUGUUCAUAUGAAUAUUCUGGUCGUGAUGAAUCAUUCAGAACCUGGAUUGAGAUGUGUCUUCACUAGUGGGGUUAUUUUGGUUUAUAAAGGUGCAUUUUCUUAAUUUUUACAUUUUUUUUUUAAAGUGUGUGUGCUGUUGCACUCCUACAAAACACAUCUACAAUGUGUGUCCAACUGAAAUGGAGAGGGAACGGAGGACAAUACAAUCUUUACAUUGUUGUUAGUGUUGGUUUAUGAUCUGGGUAGAGGAAGGUGGGCAGAAAUAUAGCGUUGUCAGUACUGGGGAAAGUGUGUUUGUAUUUAGAACACCAAUGUGUAUUAUUUAUGCAGUGCAGUACGCUGCCCUUUCUGCUCUGAUUGGUCGAUGCUGUGCACUGAGACAGGAAGGGGAGGGGCUUCUAGGGAGGAGAAGGGCAACAGAACCAGGGUAGUUGAGGAAGGGGAGGUUCUUCUCUCUCAUCACUCCUCUCUCUAUCACCUUUCUCUCUUCUUUUUCCCACUCCAUCCCCUCCUCUCUCUCUACUUUUCUGUUCACUCACUCCAUGUUUCAGAGAGAUGGAUCAGUCUCCGUUAUCUCAGCUUUCUCUCUCUCACACACACACACACACACACACACACACUGAAUGCAAACCCCCCACGCAGCACAGAAGUGUGUGUGCGCUGAUAUGAAUCGAUGCUAAACGUCCGACAUUUGUUUUAUUGGUCAGUUACUUAGGAAGAAAUAUAUGAAAGUGGUCAAAUCUCAAAUGAAACCAUCUCUUAUCUAUCUAUUGGUUCCAAGACCAAAAGUAAUGAACUCUGUAAGAAAUACUCUGGAGAAUAAAAGGGGGUCGUUUUGAGAUACAACCAACGUUGUUCACUGGUCGUUCAGAUCACAUUAAGAAGGUGAGAUUAUCUGAAGUUUAGUUUUAAGGCACAUAAUAAUAAUAAUGAUGAUGAUGAUGAUUGUAGUGUGGUAGUAUCACAGUUGGGGUUUAACUCCUUGGUAAAAAAAGGGACGUGUUUUGCCUGUCGACCCACGAGUGAGAAGAUCAGUGCUUGGUUUCACUCAUUCCUUCACAACCACAAUGACUUCUGUUCAGUCUCCAUUUAUCCCAUCUUCCUCCUGUAGGAUGCUUCUCACCCCCCUCCCCCUUUCUCUCGGUCCCUUCAUCCCCCCUCCCCGUUUUCCACUGUGUCCUCUGUCUACCCAGUGUCUUUAGAAGUAGUCCUUAUUAACUGCUGUCAUAAGCCCUACAUAAGGCUGUCUUAACAUGCACAAUGUCACCCUAUGUCAAUUUCAUGUCCUGGCUUCCUACUGUCCUUCACCCACACAGUGUCAUGAUUCACGUUCUAUGUCAGGCUCACAGCAACCUUAAGUAGGGCCUUACGACAGUCUUAAGUAGGGCCUUACGACAGUCUUAUGUAGGCCUUACGACAGUCUUAAGUAGGGCCUUACGACAGUCUUAAGUAGGGCAG